GGUGUCCCACGAGCCCCCGGCGCCCCGCCAGCCUGCCGCUCCUCGCGCGGCGCCGGCCAUGGGCCGCUGAGUGGGCAGGUCUCCGUCCAAAAACCAAACGCGAUUCAGGGAUCCAUCAACAGGAAAAUGGAUAAAACGAACAAAAUGGCAUAUUUCUGCAAUGAAAUACUACACAGUUGAGAAAAAAUUAUAUGCAACAUUGAUGAAUAUCUAAAACAUGGUAAGUGAGGUAAGUUAUUGUAAGAUAUAUAUUCUUUUUAAAAAUGUUUUAAUUUUUAUUAUUUUGAUUGGACAGUAAAAUUAGUGCCCUGCUGUGAGGAAAAAAUUAGCACUUUCUCCUAACCUCCCGCACCCCCCAUUUGUUACUGUUUAGGCUGUUUCCUACAUAAGGGAUGGUUCUUUUCCUGGCUUCAUUAAGAUAAAAAACUUCUCUCCAAAGACACUAUCAAGAGAAAGAAAAGAGGCAGAGACUGGGAAAAAAUAAUUGCAAAACGCGAAUCUGAUGAAGGACUUUUAUCCAAAAUGUUCAAAGAACUCAAAACUCAUUAAAAUAUAGGCAAAGGGUCCCAGAACUGCCUCACCAGAGAAGCUAUGCAGAUGGCAGAUAGCAUAUGAAAAGGUGCUCGGUAUCCCAGGUCACCAGGAACUGCAGAGUGAAACCAUGAGAUCCCACUGCUCGCUGUCAGCGGCUAAAGCUCAACACUGCAGCUCCCAGGGCGGAGGGAGAGGGGGCCGCAGGACUCACUUCAGAGGGUGCGGCCCCUUCGGAGGACAGCCGGGCGGUUUCUUAAAAGCUGAGCAUCCUGCACCGCGACCCGGCAGCCACGCUCCUUGGUAGUCACCCCAGCGAGCUGAAAGCAUGUCCACACACAAACCUGCACACGGAUGUUUAGAGAAGCUUUACUCACAGUUGCCAAGACCUGGAGGCAACAAAGGUUUCCAUAUUUUUUAUCAGAAGAAUCUAAGAAAGACACAAGAUGGUGCUAUAACUCCAAGAAAGCACAGGAAUGUAUGUAUGUGAGACACGCCUCCUCUCUCUCUCUCUCUCUCUCUCUCUCUCUCUCUCUCUCUCUCUCUCUCACACACACACACACACACACACACACACACACACACACUCACACUCAUCCCAGGUUCACCUGACAGCCCUCAGCCUUUCAAGACAAUUCAUUGUUCUCACUACCUUCUUGUUGUUUUUUGUUGUUGUUAAUAACAGUCAACAUGGUAACUGGUUUACAGGCGGUAAGACAUUUUGUUAUUAGGAAGACUCAUAAUUACUGCGAUUAGUUCCCCGAUGAGCUGUCUGGAAAAGUUGGUUCCAGGAGAGCUUUGAUUUGUGGUUCAAGCAUCCGGCCACCAGGGGGCGGUGCGGGAGCGCGGUGUCCCAGGCCUGUGAUGGGAAAUGCCGGGCAUGGCUUGGUGGUGGGUGGGGAGCGCUGCCUUGGGUGCAGAAAGCAAGUAGCUGCUGUACAAAAGGAGACUAUACCCUGGCUGUGAGCACCGAGAAGCACUCGUUCCAUCAAGAGUGACAGGAAAGGAAUGUGUUUCUAGAAAAAAAAAUGAUGCAACAUUUCCUGCUUACAACAUUAUUCCUCAGCAAUAAAGUAGUUCCUCUCCACCAACCCCGGGUAGAUCACUGAGAUCUCCCGCUGCCUGUAGGCAUCUCCGUGAAGAGGGGAGAAGGGAGAGGCAGGGGUUCUGCAGGGCCAGGCAGGGGGAGAGGAGGCGCUCGGAAACGUCCAGUUUUGUGACUCGGACCCUGAGGCCGCCCCAGCAGGUGCCGCGUGGACCCGGAGCUCAGGCGCGGGCCUCGUUCUCUGGCCAAAAGAAUAGCAACUCAUGUUCAUCUUUCACUUUAUCUUCUCGUGGCUUCACGUUGUAGUUGCAGUAAACCCGGUCCUGACCCGCCCCUGCUUGCUCCUCCGCGGUCUCCGCGAGCCGCCUCUGGCUGGUCCUGGCUCUCUGUCCGUCCACAGACAUUGCAGACCCACCCUCCAUUCGAGCCGCCCCGCUCCCUGCUCUCUGCCCCCGUUUUCCUCCUCCGCUUGGCUGCCUGCCUUUUCUCAUUCCCGCGUGGAGUCUGUCGCUGUCUCCUCCCAGGCGCCCUUCCUGCUGUCCUAACCAGAGUGUCCCCUGCCCCAGGCCCCUCCUUCCCAUGGCACCGCUGUGUCCUUCCCAGCAGGUGCACGAUCGGAAAUUGUCUCUCUGUUGCAGCGGGAUUCGCUUCAGAUGCAAAGGCAGUUUAACAGGGAAAAGCAGUAAGAGAACUCGCAGGGCACACUCGUAAUCUUCAUCGCACGCGUUACCUGUUGGGGUGGAAAGUCCGCGUGUCCAUGGCCAGGGUACCAGUGAGAAGGGACAGUCCCGGAUGCGUAUAUUCACGGCGUGUACUUUGGGGUGGGGAGCCGGGUCGGGGCAUCCGUGAGACAGCUCAGUUCCCUGGCCAGGGGUGGGCCUGUGGGGCGGGACCUCCCCGGGACCUGGGCCCUGCGAACUGGCCUGUCCCUCCUACGCGCACCCAGAGCUCUCGCUAAGCUACCACAGUCAGGAGGACGUGAGCAGGUCGAGGCCAUCGGCUUUCAUCCGCUAAAUGCAGCAGCACAGAGGCAGGGGGCUGUCUGUCCACCACCACAGUACGGGCCGGGGCCGGUCCUCAGGCACCUUCGGGAUGAAUGAGGGCAGCAGCAUGAGUGGCGGUGGAGUGGACAGCUACAGAGAAGGGCGUGGAGAGGACAGGCCGUGUGUCCCUGAAAUCAUGUCGGGGUGGACUGGGCCUCUGGGCAGGCAGGGUCUGAGGUGGUGGUAGCACCGUCCCCGGCGCAGAAGCUGCAGGUGGCACCAGUCACUCAUGGGACCCCAGCCACGGGUCUUUCCGUGGCGUUUAACCCACGCCCGUGCUGACUGAGCGUCACCCAGACGCUUCUAACCGUCCGCUGGGCUGCGCUGCUCUUGAAUCCGAGGUUGCUCUGGUAUUUGACCCCGAGUUCCCGACCGUUUUUGUAAGAGGAACAGGUUGGCAUGUGGGGGAGACAUGGUCCACGCGUCUCUUCUUCAUUCUGACUGUUCUUUUCUUCUCCAGCCUCACAACCCGCCGGACUGGUUCUGGCAACAAGAGUGACGAUGAGGCCAUUUCCACUAUGUUCAGGUCAGCGUUAGUAAUGCUUACUGCGUACUCAUCCUUUUGGUAUGCUUCUAACUUAGCGAAAUAGGG